GGACACGGAUACGGAUACGGGGAUACGAUACGACACGAUACGGGGAUACGACAAAUUUCUAAAAAUUAGGAUACGAUACGUCGUGGAUACGGCAAUUUAAAUAAUAUAUAAUAAUUUUAAAAAUAACAAUAUAUAUAAUUUAUAACAUAUUUUAAAUAACAUAAAAAUGAUAAUAUUAUUACUUUUGAUAUUAUUACUUUUAACAUACUUCCACUUGUCUUGGUUAUAAUAUUAUUACUUUUAAUAAGACAAACAAAACAAAAUCCUUUAGUCAAAACGAUAAGACCAGCCAUCACGUGGGGUGUGGGUGAAACUGUGAAUAUUAAACAAACAAAAUCCUUUGACCUAACAAGAACAAAACAAAAUCCUUUUGUCAAAGAAACAGAGAAGAGAACCCGACGCCGCCGACAAUGAAGAAUGAAGAAGAAGAAAUUGAUGAGUAGGGGCGCCGCUGGAUGAACAAGAAAAAGGAAGAUCUGGGCUUCUUAAGGACGAAGAAGAAGAAUUGAUGAGCGGGGGCACCGCUGGAUGCAGAAGAAGAAGGAAGAUCUGAAAAAAGAAGUGGAGACGUUUCCUGAUACGCGUAUCCUAAACAUCAGAUACUCGUAUCUGUAAUGUCAGAUACGCGUAUCUUUUUGUCGUUGACCGUAUCCGCUUACUCGGAUACGUAUCCAUCGCGUAUCCGCACGUAUUCACAGCGUAUCGUAUCCCCUAGCGUAUCGGAUACGGGAUACGCACCUCAACCAGCGUAUCCG
rnacentral:lncRNA from 1 species